UUCCUACGGGAGGCUGCAGUGGGGAAUCUUCCGCAAUGGACGAAAGUCUGACGGAGCGACGCCGCGUGAGUGAUGAAGGCCCUUGGGUCGUAAAGCUCUGUCAUUGGGGACGAACGACCGCAUCAGGAAAUGGGUGCGGAGUGACGGUACCCAAGAAGGAAGCCACGGCUAACUACGUGCCAGCAGCCGCGGUAAUACGUAGGUGGCAAGCGUUGUCCGGAAGUAUUGGGCGUAAAGCGCGCGCAGGUGGGAGCUUAAGUCCAUUUUGAAAGUUCGGAGCUCAACGCCGUGAUGGGAUGGAAACUGGGAUUCUUGAGUAUCGGAGAGGAAAGCGGAAUUCCCCGUGUAGCGGUGAAAUGCGUAGAUAUGGGGAGGAACACCAGUGGCGAAGGCGGCUUUCUGGACGAUGUCUGACACUGAGGCGCGAAAGCCAGGGGAGCGAACGGGAUUAGAUACCCUGGUAGUCGA
rnacentral:rRNA from 1 species